rnacentral:rRNA from 1 species
AACGAACGCUGGCGGCAUGCCUAACACAUGCAAGUCGAACGAGACCUUCGGGUCUAGUGGCGCACGGGUGCGUAACGCGUGGGAACCUGCCCUUAGGUUCGGAAUAACUCCCCGAAAGGGGUGCUAAUACCGGAUAAUGUCUUCGGACCAAAGAUUUAUCGCCUUUGGAUGGGCCCGCGUUGGAUUAGCUAGUUGGUAGGGUAAAAGCCUACCAAGGCGACGAUCCAUAGCUGGUCUGAGAGGAUGAUCAGCCACACUGGGACUGAGACACGGCCCAGACCCCUACGGGAGGCAGCAGUGGGGGAUAGUGGACACUGGGCGAAAGCCUGAUCCAGCAAUGCCGCGUGAGUGAUGAAGGGCUUAGGGUUGUAAAGCUCUUUUACCCGGGAUGAUAAUGACAGUACCGGGAGAAUAAGCUCCGGCUAACUCCGUG